GUGCCCUUUUAGGGCUGAUGCAGGGCUCUAAAAGGCUAACACGGAAGGAAAGCACAUCUCCAUAAAACCCGGAGAAGAGAUUAUAAAUCUUCUCUUUGGGUCCUAUCUGGAGACACAAGU
ensembl:snoRNA